UACGUAGGGUGCAAGCGUUAAUCGGAAUUACUGGGCGUAAAGCGUGCGCAGGCGGCUAUGCAAGACAGAUGUGAAAUCCCCGGGCUCAACCUGGGAACUGCAUUUGUGACUGCAUGGCUAGAGUACGGUAGAGGGGGAUGGAAUUCCGCGUGUAGAAGUGAAAUGCGUAGAUAUGCGGAGGAACACCGAUGGCGAAGGCAAUCCCCUGGACCUGUACUGACGCUCAUGCACGAAAGCGUGGGGAGCAAACAGG
rnacentral:rRNA from 1 species